GUUUUAAGCAUGGAAGGAUUUAAAUAGAUCAAACCGGCUUCUCUGUUGAGUGAGAAUUGCAGGAAGCCUUAUUCAGAGCCACAAUGGGAGGCCACCUGCUAGACAUGGAAGAGCCACCGGAUGGAAGAAGCCUGGGUCUCUGAAAUACUGCUUGGAGUAGACUACUCUGCCUGCAAACUAGGAGCACUGAUUUUGGACUUUUUGGGAGAUCUGCUGUGAUUAUUCCUUUUCACAAACCACAAUGACUCUGGAAAACCUGGCUGUAAACACCAGCACUGCCACCAGCUAAGGAUCUGUGAUCAGGAGUGCCAUCUCACGGUAACAGGAAUAUGAAGUCUGAGGUUUCUGCUCUGACAAGAGGAAAUGUCUAACAGCAGAAGACAAAAGUGAAACCGGGCUGAUGCGAAUCACUGGGAAACUGGCUUUGGCACCUCCAGAGAAUGAACUGUUUCAUAGCCUAGCUGACCAUCCAUGAAAAUGGCUGCCUGGAGAGGCAGUGAUCAGCCCAUCCCUGCAGGGUGAAGAUAAGCUUGUGCAGGCCACUGGCUAACACAGUUCAUCCCAUGCCUCCUACAUACCAAGCACUGUGCCAGGCACUUUUCACGUCUGGCAUCCUCAGAAUCCUCCAAAAGGUCGGAUUCAGACAAUCCGGUGGAGCACUCUGAAAUUUAGAGGAAGUGGUCAAAUAGAAUUUUCUGGAAUUAUGGAAAUCUUCUAUUCUGUGCAUCUAGUAUAGUAGAAUCUAGUCACAUGUGGCUUUUGAGAACUGGAAAUAUGGCUAAUGCAACAGAGAAAGUGAAUUUUUACUUUUGAUUCAUUUAAAUAUAAAUGGUCACAUAUGACAUCACUGCCAUAUUGGACAUUGCAGUUCUGGAAGAUGGCAGAUGCAGCCCUCAGAAGAAUUAUCAGCCUGAAUGUCUGGGCGGAGCAGAGCACUACCUUCCCACUCACUCUUCCCCUCCUCUCGCCCCCUCCCCUGCCUCACUUGCAUCAGAUUAUGAUGUGAGCAAAAGCAGGAAACAGCUCUUUUGAUAGGCCUGUGAGACUUGCUGUUCGUUGGAGUAGCUAGGCUGCUCUGACUCAUACAGACCCAAAUCCUGGCAACCACUUUUAUGAAGAAAUGACAAUUCAGUCUACUACUUGUCCAUUUUACAUGCCCAAGGAAUGUGAGGGGCCUCUGCUUGGAUCUAGUUUUCAACCUAGUCUAUGGCAUUGAUUAUCCUUUUAAAAGACAAAAGAGGUGACUUCACGGGCACUUAACAUCUUGGCCAUACUGACCCCAGUUGCACGCUACGUAGGAAGUUUUAGUCCAUUUAAACUGAAGUUCCAAUUUUUUUUUUAACAACUAUUUAAAAAUUGUACAUGUCCCAUACAUGACAGAGAAAGGGUUGUCUGGUUGGAUGAUUUUUGGCUUGCAAAAAGAGAACACAAAAGAAAAGCAUACGUUUUAAUACUCAAGAGACCAAAUUUUCUGCUGAAGAGGAAAUGAACUACAUAUCCAGAAGGGUCCUACCAAGAGGCCAAACAGACUGUGUUCUCUUGGGGGAGUUCUCAGUGGUGAUGAGAACACCACUUUUUUUUUUUUUUUAGUCAUUUUCAAGGUGAGAUAUUGACUUGCUGCUGGAGCAGGACAACUGGUCUCUCUUUCAUUGCUAGCAGCAGAGUAAGGGUCUUGCAAGUUUCAGGCAGCAGCAGAGAAAGGGUCUUGCAAGUUUCAGUCCAAAGCAAGAAGAGCUAGGAUUGCACCAGCUGUCUCACCUACUCUGUGCUCACCUGUUUCUGGAUGAAGCACGGUGACAUCUGUUUUAUUGUAAAGAGAACCAACUUUGGAAUCAAAUGGAACCUGUAUUAAAAUCCUGAAUCCGUCACUAGCUUGGACAAGUCACUUCACUUCUCUGAACCUUGUUUUAUUCCAGUUAAGAAUAAUAGUAAGCCAGUCCCACAGAGCUGUAGCAAGGUUAAAAUGAAUGGUUGUCUGUAGAAGCAUUUAAAAUAGGGCUUCAUACAGAGCCAGUACCUGGGGAGACUGAGGGUUUGAACCACAUAGUUCCACUCUGGCAAAUCACAGAGGGGCUGUAGGAUGGUCCUUUAAGGGGGAUGUGUUAUGGGUUAAUUGGAACAGUGCUUCUUAAACUCCAGUGUGCAUUCAUAUUGCUUAGGGGUUUUGUUUAAAUGCAGAUUCUGAGUUACUAGGAUUAUGCAAUUUGAAUGAGCUUGCAGAUAAUUUCAUGGCUGCUGGUCUCUGACAUCACCUUUGAGAAGCAAAGAAUUAAAGGUCCUGUCCUGAUCUGUCUCCUUCUCCUGUUAUCUGUGCAAAAGAGAUAUACUGUCUACUUUGCAUAGUGAGAUGGCAGGUACAAAAGUAGGAUGAGGAUAAUGUAGCAUGAGCACAGAGAAGGAAAACCUAGGAGGAUGAGUAAAGAAAUCAUGGGAAAAGAGAUAGAUUCAAGGCUUUCAAUCCUGACUAGACUUUAAAUUCACCUGGAGAGCUUUAAAAAAACUAGCCAUUGUCUGGUCCCAGGAAUACUGAUUUAAUUGAUUAGGAUGGGACCAGACAUGACAUGUUAAAGAAAAUAACUCCCCAGAUUAUUCUAGUGUGUAGCCAGGGUUAAGAACUGCUGGGCUAGACAAAUGAGACAACUUUCCCAGAUGGAAAGAAUCAGGAAGGGGCCUUAUCAAGAUAUUAUGUCAGGUUUGGUUUUCAGGGGGCUGAUAGGAAAGAAAAAGAAAUGCUUCAUGGAAAUUGCAGGUAAGACAGGCCAAUUGGUUGAAACCUUGACAAAUCAGACCAUUUGAUCAAAUUGUUCCCAAAAUAUGAAAACUCUGUCUCAACCGAAAUAAUCACUUAGCUCUGGGACUCUAAAGCAACCUGUUUGUCUGUUGGGAAGCUAGGGUAAAUGUGAGAAGUGAAAUCCAUGCCAUUUUUUGGAACUGGAGACUUUUUAAUAAUUUCAUUAACAUUGUCAGUUUGGUUGUCCUCUGUGAUCAGAAGCUGUCGAAUGAUGUUCAUUUGAGUACAGAAGCCAGCCCUUUCUGUAGCAUUAACCAGGCCUCAGUCCAGUGGAUCUCUACAGGGUGCCACGAGCCCAGCACAAGUGCUCCAACACAUUCUGACCAAUGAGCAUAAUUAAUUUGUUGUAAUUGACUUUACACUCUUGAAGCCCAGGUGUAGACUUCCUUCUUGUUACCAGAAGCCAGCUCAGACAUGGCCCUUUGCCAGCCUCAACACAAAGCUCAGCUCUCUUCCAGGGUUCCCUAAGAUCUAGGCACGUCAAGCAUCUGAAAAUAAUAUGGUUUUACAGAAGAUUCCUUACAUCCUGCGGUGGGGCCAGCUCAGGCACUGAACAACGUUUUGUUUGAGCAAUCCCCAUUGGACACAUCUCUCCCCCGAAUCCCUGUCUGCACAGCCAAUAAGGUGAUUCUCCUCUGUCACCCUCCUUAGCCCUUGCCCAUUCUUUUAUUCCUUUACAAGACAGCUGGGUUUAGCCCUGUCCUAAGUGCUCCACACUCGGCUGCCUGCACCCAGGCAUAGCAAACACAAAGCCCUUCGGAACCCCAGGCCCACCCUCUUUAGAUACAUGUUAUAAACUGUUACUGUUGAUGAGGUCAUUCCAGUGGGUGUCAAGCUGGGCACAGCUUCUGGUAAGAAGAAGAAAGCAUAGCAGAUUCACAUCUCAGCCAAAGAACCUGGCUGUGAAAAGCCUUUGCCUAAAAGGUCAUGCAGUCCACAGUUCUGCCACACAACUGCAGCCUGGAAUCACAUGGGGAGUUCUUAAAAUGCUGAUGGCUGGGCUGUACCCCUGAAAUUCUGAUUUAAUUGGCCUGGGGUGUGGCCUGGGCAUUAGAGUUUUGUUAAAGUUCCCAAGUCAUUCCUGCCAUGCUGCCAAAUUUGAGAGACGUUGUUCUAAAGAGGCUUAGCGAUAAAGGCCAAGUGAAAAGGACAACCAGUCCUACGUUAUAGUUGCAAUUGCUUUGUCCUUAUUACUGACCUGUUUGGUCUUGUUUUGAGUCUUUUAAUCCCUUCAACUGAACUCUCCAAAAUUCUACUAUUGGACAGUAUAGCACAGAAAGUUUGGG
rnacentral:lncRNA from 1 species